rnacentral:lncRNA from 1 species
UCUAUGGCUCUAUUUGAAGGAAAGAAGUCUUCCCUUUCUUCCCAUCAAUGAUUAAGGACUCAAGCCAGUGAAAUCAUUGGAUUUUUCUUUCUAAAAUCCAUGACCAAGGAAGGCAAAAUUAGAAUCAGGACCUAUGCUGGUUGAUUGGCGGUACGAGCUGGUAUAGAUCCAUACCAGAUCAGACCAACAUGAAUCAAUACAAACAAGAAGAAGAAAACC